GUCUAUGGCCAUACCACCCUGAACGUGCCUGAUCUCCUCUGAUCUCAGAAGCUAAGCAGGGUCAGGCCUGGUUAGUACUUGGAUGGGAGGAAUUUAGCUUUAGAGC
ensembl:rRNA 5S_rRNA 5S ribosomal RNA